GACGAACGCUGGCGGCGUGCCUAACACAUGCAAGUCGAACGGAAAGGCUCUGCUUUUGUGGGGUUUUCGAGUGGCGAACGGGUGAGUAACACGUGAGUAACCUGCCCUUUACUUUGGGAUAACUCCAGGAAACUCGGGCUAUUACCGGAUAUGAGCUCCUUCUGCAUGGUGGUUGUUGGAAAGUUUCGGCGGUUGGGGAUGGACGCGCGGCUUAUCAGUUUGUUGGUGGGGUAGUGGCUUACAAAGGCUUGGACGGGUAGCCGGCCUGAGAGCGUGACCGGGCACAUAGGGACUGAGGUAGGAGCAAGACGCAAACGGGAGGAAGGGGUGGGAAAUAGUGCGAAAUGGGCGGAGGCCGGGAGGAGCGACGCCGCGUGCGGGAUGACGGCCUGCAGGUUGUAAACCGCUUUAGCGUGUGAAGAAGAGUAAGUGACGGUAAUGGGUAAAGAAGCAACGGCUAACUACGUG
rnacentral:rRNA from 1 species